rnacentral:rRNA from 1 species
GACGAACGCUGGCGGCGUGCUUAACACAUGCAAGUCGAACGAAGUGGCGAACGGGUGAGUAACGCGUAAUCAACCUGCCCUUCAGAGGGGGACAACAGUUGGAAACGACUGCUAAUACCGCAUACUGAAGGAGGGGAUUGCGUCUGAUUAGCUAGUUGGAGGGGUAACGGCCCACCAAAGCGAAGAUCAGUAGCCGGUCUGGAGAGGUGGACGGCCACAAUGGGACUGAGGAACGGCCCAGACUCCUACGGGAGGGAGCAGGGGGGAAUCUUCCGCAAUGGACGAAAGUCUUACGGAGCAACGCCGCGGGGGUGAUGACGGCCUUCGGGUUGUAAAGCUCUGUUAAUCGGGACGCGGUACCGGAAUAGAAAGCCACGGCUAACUACGUGCCAGCAGCCGCGGUAAUAC